CCUACGGGAGGCAGCAGUGAGGAAUAUUGGUCAAUGGACGAGAGUCUGAACCAGCCAAGUAGCGUGAAGGAUGACUGCCCUAUGGGUUGUAAACUUCUUUUAUAUGGGACUAAAAUGUUCCACGUGUGGGAUUUUGUAUGUACCAUAUGAAUAAGGAUCGGCUAACUCCGUGCCAGCAGCCGCAGUAAUACGGUGGAUCCGAGCUUUAUCCGGAUUUAUUGGUUUUAAAGGGAGCGUAGGUGGAUUGUUAAGUCAGUUGUGAAAGUUUGCGGCUCAACCGUAAAAUUGCAGUUGACACUGGCAGUCGUGAGUACAGUAGAGGUGGGCGGAAUUCGUGGUGUAGCGGUGAAAUGCGUAGAUAGCACGAAGAACUCCGAUUGCGAAGGCAGCUCACUGGACUGCAACUGACACUGAGGCUCGAAAGUGUGGGUAUCAAACAGGAUUAGAGACCCCUGUAGUC
rnacentral:rRNA from 1 species